GAUGAACGCUGGCGGCGUGCCUAAUACAUGCAAGUCGAGCGAACAGACGAGGAGCUUGCUCCUCUGACGUUAGCGGCGGACGGGUGAGUAACACGUGGAUAACCUACCUAUAAGACUGGGAUAACUUCGGGAAACCGGAGCUAAUACCGGAUAAUAUAUUGAACCGCAUGGUUCAAUAGUGAAAGACGGUUUUGCUGUCACUUAUAGAUGGAUCCGCGCCGCAUUAGCUAGUUGGUAAGGUAACGGCUUACCAAGGCAACGAUGCGUAGCCGACCUGAGAGGGUGAACGGCCACAAUGGAACUGAGACACGGUCCAGACUCCUACGGGAGGCAGCAGUAGGGAAUCUUCCGCAAUGGGCGAAAGCUUGACGGAGCAACGCCGCGUGAGUGAUGAAGGUCUUCGGAUCGUAAAACUCUGUUAUUAGGGAAGAACAAAUGUGUAAGUAACUAUGCACGUCUUGACGGUACCUAAUCAGAAAGCCACGGCUAACUACGUG
rnacentral:rRNA from 1 species